ACGAACGCUGGCGGCGUGCCUCAUACAUGCAAGUUGCGCGAUGAAGAUUGGUGCUUGCACCAAUUUGAAGAGCAGCGAACGGGUGAGUAACGCGUGGGGAAUCUGCCUUUGAGCGGGGGACAACAUUUGGAAACGAAUGCUAAUACCGCAUAACAACUUUAAACAUAAGUUUUAAGUUUGAAAGAUGCAAUUGCAUCACUCAAAGAUGAUCCCGCGUUGUAUUAGCUAGUUGGUGAGUAAAGGCUCACCAAGGCGAUGAUACAUAGCCGACCUGAGAGGGUGAUCGGCCACAUUGGGACUGAGACACGGCCCAAACUCCUACGGGAGGCAGCAGUAGGGAAUCUUCGGCAAUGGACGAAAGUCUGACCGAGCAACGCCGCGUGAGUGAAGAAGGUUUUCGGAUCGUAAAACUCUGUUGGUAGAGAAGAACGUUGGUGAGAGUGGAAAGCUCAUCAAGUGACGGUAACUACCCAGAAAGGGACGGCUAACUACGUG
rnacentral:rRNA from 1 species